AAUACGGAGGAAAAGAAACCAACAGGGAUUACCUCAGUAACGGCGAGUGAAGCGGUAACAGCUCAAAUUUGAAAGCUGCCAACAGGCCGCGUUGUAAUUUGUAGAAGAUGCUUUGGGUGUUGACCUAGUCUAAGUCCCUUGGAACAGGGCGUCAUAGAGGGUGAGAAUCCCGUAUGUGAUUAGUGUCAUCCCCCGUGUAAAGCUCUUUCGACGAGUCGAGUUGUUUGGGAAUGCAGCUCAAAAUGGGUGGUAAAUUUCAUCUAAAGCUAAAUAUUGGCCAGAGACCGAUAGCGCACAAGUAGAGUGAUCGAAAGAUGAAAAGCACUUUGGAAAGAGAGUUAAACAGUACGUGAAAUUGUUGAAAGGGAAGCGCUUGCAAUCAGACUUGCGGGCGGUUGAUCAUCCGAGGUUCUCCCCGGUGCACUCGAUCGUCCUCAGGCCAGCAUCGGUUUCAGUGGUAGGAUAAAGGCUGUGAGAAUGUGGCUCUUCGGAGUGUUAUAGCUCACGGUGCAAUGCUGCCUACUGGGACCGAGGACCGCGCUCGGCUAGAUGCUGCGUACCCAC
rnacentral:rRNA from 1 species